rnacentral:lncRNA from 1 species
GACGAAUAAUUCAAUUUAUCUGUGCAAUUGGGUGUUCUACUACAAAUGUAUACAGAUACAGCCCUACAGAUAUCGCUAUGCUGUAUCUAAAAUUGAGAAUGGAAAUGGGGAAUUUGUCAAAGAGACAACAACCCGUCCAUAGAAAAAACAACAGCAGAAGGUCACCAACAGGUCUUCAAUGUAGCGAGAAAUUCCCGCACCCGGAGGCGUCCUUCAGCCGGCCCCUAAACAAAUAUAUACUAGUUCAGUGAUAAUGAACGCCAUACUAAUUUUUAAAUUGUACACAAGAAACUAAAAUUAAAAUAAUACAAGACUAACAAAGCCCAGAGGCUCCUGACUUGGGACAGGCGCAAAAAUGCGGCGGAGUUAAACAUGUUUAUGAGAUCUCAACCCUCCCCUAUACCUCUAGCCAAUGAAGAAAAGUUACUGUAAUCUCUGUAAAAAGUUACUGUAAAAAUAAUCUGUAUACUAUACAGAUAUCGCUUAAAAGCUCCGCCC